rnacentral:rRNA from 1 species
UACGUAGGGUGCGAGCGUUAAUCGGAAUUACUGGGCGUAAAGCGUGCGCAGGCGGUUCGUUGUGUCGGCGGUGAAAGCCCCGGGCUUAACCUGGGAAUGGCAUUUGGGACUGCAAGGCUUGAGUGCGGCAGAGGAGACUGGAAUUCCCGGUGUAGCGGUGAAAUGCGCAGAUAUCGGGAAGAACACCCGUGGCGAAGGCGGCUCUCUGGAACGGUACUGACGCUGAGACGCGAAAGCGUGGGGAGCGAACAGG